rnacentral:misc_RNA from 1 species
AAGUACUUUGGAUAUUUUAUCGGCAUGACCACUGCUUCCUUCAGAAGUUUCUUCGCAUUCUCUAACCCCUUAAUACUUUCCCAUUUCACAUCCGGACUCCCACGAAUAAUAUCUCUGCACAGAGUCUCAGCCAAAGUCCUCGUCUCCGCAGAAUCAAAAUUAGGAAGCAAUGGUUUUACCGGCGCUUCCGAUCUGUCUGAAA